AGCUCCAAUAGCGUAUAUUAAAGUUGUUGCAGUUAAAAAGCUCGUAGUUGGAUUUGUGGUUGACGUUGGCGGUUCUUCACAUUGUGUUGAGCUAGUCCUAUGUCUCCAUCCUUGGGUGGAUCCUGUGUGGCAUUAGGUUGUCGUGCAGGGGAUGCCCAUCGUUUACUGUGAAAAAAUUAGAGUGUUCAAAGCAGGCUUAUGCCGUUGAAUAUAUUAGCAUGGAAUAAUAAGAUAGGACCUUGGUACUAUUUUGUUGGUUUGCGCACCAAGGUAAUGAUUAAUAGGGACAGUUGGGGGUAUUCGUAUUCCAUUGUCAGAGGUGAAAUUCUUGGAUUUUUGGAAGACGAACUACUGCGAAAGCAUUUACCAAGGAUGUUUUCAUUAAUCAAGAACGAAAGUA
rnacentral:rRNA from 1 species